rnacentral:misc_RNA from 1 species
UCCGGUUUGUCACCGGCAGUCUCAUUAGAGUGCCCUUGCGUAGCAACUAAUGAUAAGGGUUGCGCUCGUUGCGGGACUUAACCCAACAUCUCACGACACGAGCUGACGACGGCCAUGCAGCCCCUGUGUUACGGCUCUCUUUCAAGCACCCCCACAUCUCUGCAGGGUUCCGUACAUGUCAAGGGUAGGUAAGGUUCUUCGCGUUGCAUCGAAUUAAACCACAUGCUCCACCGCUUGUGCGGGCCCCCGUCAAUUCCUUUGAGUUUCAACCUUGCGGUCGUACUCCCCAGGUGGAUCACUUAAUGCUUUCGCUCAGACGCGUACAGUAUAUCGCACACAUCGAGUGAUCAUCGUUUAGGGCGUGGACUAC